GAUGAACGCUAGCGGCAGGCCUAACACAUGCAAGUCGAGGGAGAGGUUAUCUUCGGGCGACCAAAACCGGCGCACGGGUGCGUAACGCGUAUACAAUCUGCCUUUCACAUAGGGAUAGCCCGAAGAAAUUUGGAUUAAUACCUAAUGGUAUAUAAGAGCGGCAUCGUUUUUAUAUUAAAGCUACGGUGGUGAAAGAUGAGUAUGCGUUCUAUUAGCUAGUUGGAGAGGUAACGGCUCCCCAAGGCGACGAUAGAUAGGGGUUCUGAGAGGGAUGUCCCCCACACUGGUACUGAGAUACGGACCAGACUCCUACGGGAGGCAGCAGUGAGGAAUAUUGGACAAUGGUCGGAAGACUGAUCCAGCCAUGCCGCGUGCAGGAUGAAGGUCCUAUGGAUUGAAAACUGCUUUUGUAAGGGAGCAAUAACGAGUACGUGUACGUUGAUGAUGGUACUUCACGAGUGAGGAUCGUCUAACUCCCGUGCCCCUAGCCGCGGUAAUACGGAGGAUGCGAUCCUUAUCCGGAAACUAGGUGUAACAAAGGCCCGGCGGCGCGCUGAUAGC
rnacentral:rRNA from 1 species